rnacentral:rRNA from 1 species
UGGGGAAUAUUGCACAAUGGGCGCAAGCCUGAUGCAGCCAUGCCGCGUGUAUGAAGAAGGCCUUCGGGUUGUAAAGUACUUUCAGCGAGGAGGAAGGCGUUGUGGUUAAUAACCGCAACGAUUGACGUUACUCGCAGAAGAAGCACCGGCUAACUCCGUGCCAGCAGCCGCGGUAAUACGGAGGGUGCAAGCGUUAAUCGGAAUUACUGGGCGUAAAGCGCACGCAGGCGGUCUGUCAAGUCGGAUGUGAAAUCCCCGGGCUCAACCUGGGAACUGCAUCCGAAACUGGCAGGCUAGAGUCUUGUAGAGGGGGGUAGAAUUCCAGGUGUAGCGGUGAAAUGCGUAGAGAUCUGGAGGAAUACCGGUGGCGAAGGCGGCCCCCUGGACAAAGACUGACGCUCGGGUGCGAAAGCGUGGGGAGCAAACA